AAAACCCCAAUUUUGUUCUUUUAUUCUUUCAAUAUAUCAUCUUUCCAUUCACCACAACCCCACGCGAAUUCGAACGCCAGAAAAGCUCAAUUAUUUAUGAUCGCCGACGAUGUAUAGCAAUUUCAAGGAGCAAGCGAUCGAGUAUGUCUGGCAGGCAGUCGCCGAGGACAACGCCGGAAAUUAUGCCAAGGCCUUCCCGCUGUAUAUGAACGCGCUGGAGUAUUUCAGGACGCACCUCAAGUACGAGAAAAACCCUAAGAUCAAGGAGGCCAUCACACAGAAGUUCACCGAGUACUUGCGCCGGGCGGAGGAGAUCCGCGGCGUGCUCGACGAGGGAGGAUCGGGCCCCGCCGCGAAUGGCGAUGCGGCCGUGGCGACGCGGCCAAAGUCCAAGCCCAAGGACGGGAAGGACGGUGAGGGAGAGGAUGGCGAUAAGGAGAAGCUUCGGGCGGGGUUGAACUCGGCUAUUGUUAGGGAGAAGCCUAAUGUUAAGUGGAAUGAUGUGGCUGGAUUGGAGAGCGCGAAGCAGGCACUGCAGGAGGCUGUGAUUCUCCCCGUGAAGUUCCCGCAGUUUUUUACUGGUAAGAGGCGCCCUUGGAGGGCUUUUCUUUUGUAUGGUCCUCCUGGAACAGGAAAGUCAUACUUGGCCAAGGCUGUUGCCACUGAAGCUGACUCCACGUUUUUCAGUGUUUCUUCUUCAGACUUGGUUUCAAAAUGGAUGGGUGAAAGUGAAAAGCUAGUCUCUAAUCUCUUCCAAAUGGCACGUGAAAGUUCUCCCUCGAUCAUAUUUAUUGAUGAAAUAGAUUCCCUCUGUGGACAGCGUGGAGAAGGAAAUGAAAGUGAAGCAUCUAGGCGAAUCAAAACAGAAUUGCUUGUGCAGAUGCAGGGGGUGGGACACAAUGAUGACAAAGUUCUUGUUCUUGCUGCCACUAAUACUCCUUAUGCUCUUGAUCAGGCUAUAAGGCGGCGGUUUGACAAGCGUAUUUAUAUCCCACUACCAGAUGUGAAGGCACGUCAGCACAUGUUCAAGGUGCAUUUAGGAGAUACACCAAAUAACUUGAACGAUAGAGACUUUGAAAGCCUAGCUCGUAAGACAGAAGGUUUUUCUGGUUCGGAUAUUGCUGUUUGUGUUAAGGACGUCUUAUUUGAGCCUGUACGAAAAACACAAGAUGCAAUGUUCUUCGUUAAGACACCUAGUGGUGCAUGGGUGCCAUGUGGACCUAAGCAACCAGGUGCCAUCCAGAUAACUAUGCAGGAGCUUGCUGCAAAAGGACUUGCUGCACAGAUCAACCCACCUCCUAUAUCAAAAACAGACUUUGACAAGGUGCUUGCAAGGCAAAGACCAACUGUGAGCAAAUCUGAUCUCGAUGUGCAUGAGAGAUUCACAAAGGAAUUUGGCGAGGAAGGCUAACGAACUUGAGGUGCUUUAGCCUGCUACAACUUGUGUACCUGGUGACUUUUUGUAUAUUACUACGUAUGAUUUUUUACUGCAUUCAGAUUAGCUCAUCAAAGGGGAAAGGUUAGAUGACUUUUCAUUUUCCUCCAGCAUUGGGCCAGAAAAUGAGCCGACGCUUCUCAAAUUGCUGUACUUAUGUUAUGUACAAACAUUAAAACUACUCCAACAAACGAUGUCAAUAUGGUGUGUUCAUGUGAGGUGACAUUUUAUCCUCGUGGUACAAUUGAUAUCAUUCCACCAGCAAAGUGAUGGAGAUGAGACUGCUGUUGCAUGUCGUUGUUCCUCCAUUUUUCAUGUUUUUCUGAUCAACAAUGGUUGAUGAUGGUCAUGAUGGAGGACGCCACAAAGUCUUAUGAACUUAUUCUGCUAUGGCUAGAAGAGACUCAACAAAAAUCAUAGCAUAAGUUGUUAGAUUAGAACAAACCAGUAAUUGACAAAAUAAAAUCAUAUGUAAAUGGGAUCUCUCUCUCUCUGUCUCAAUUGCUCCAAAUGGAUGUCACUACAAACUUAUGGUGAUAUGUUGAUACAUGGACUACUAUUUACACUAUUGUAUUCCAGCUCAUAUAAAUGUAACCAAGUUUCUAAUAAAA